rnacentral:lncRNA from 1 species
UUUGUGUCCACAUGGUCCGCAUGUCUCUCUAGUGUUGGUUUCUAUAACCAGGUUCUUCUUCUUAUUAUUAUUUUCAAUCAACUUACAUAUAAAACCUCAGGUUUUCCUCUCAACAAAGACUAAACAUUCACAAUUAUGAACCCCAUACAAACAACCGAGAGGAUGUUGGACAGAAAGUUGGGACACAGUUUCCCUAACCUUUCAAAUAGGGAGAAAUAGUUAAUAUAAUUAGUUUUUAGCCUUUAUGGGAACUGUCACUACAUAAUACCUCUGAUGUUUUCCCGUGUUUUUUUCUCCUCCCCAUCCAUAUACCAGAUAGGGCACAAAGGACAAACAUACUCAUUGUUUCUAUAUGUUGUAUUUCCCUGUGUGUGAGCCCAGGUUAGGCAGUGGGAAGAUCCCAGGACAUCUAUUUCCCUCAUGAAACUUCUGUUCUACAGAUACUGCCAAGUGGCAGAUUUUUGUUAGUAGACCCUUUAACUCUGAACACCUGAUUUUCUAAGCAAGGUCUUUGUUCCUCAGGUGGUGUAGACUUUCUUGAGUUAAGAGAGGGAGAUCAUUGGAGACACCUGAGAGGGACAAUCAAAUAUAAAAUCACAUGACCUAGCAGCCCCUUUCCCAAUUUCUCACUUUGUGUUGAGGUUGGCAGCCUUGCUAUGACAUUUAUUACGAUGAAAGUCUUUCUGGGAUUGGGAGUACUGUACCUUUUAGUUGGCCUAAGCUGGACUCAGGAUCCAACAGUGACCGUGGAGUGUAGUCUUCUCACAUUACGGGUGACGGUGAAAAAACAUCUGUUUAAUGAUGUGCCUGUGGCUCCUGAAGAACUGAUGCUUGGGACAGGCUGUCCAGUUACCGGGGAAACAUCAGCUAUAUAUGAGUUACACUAUCCUGUGUCAGAGUGUGGAAUUCAUUUUGAGGCUUUUCAAACACUUGUACUCUAUAAAACCACACUCUAUUAUAAGCCAACAAAUCCCUUUCCGGCACUAACAUUUCCCUUGUUCUGCACAGUGUUCAAGAAACUAUUCUUACCAAAAUUAAAUGAUCCUGUUCGUGUUCUGCCGCCUCAGGAAGCCCCAACACUGAAUGGCAUAAAAAUGCGGAGUAGUGUUUCUGUUCCCUCCUAUUGGAAUAGAGACUUCCCUGGGAUGUUGGUGGAGCAAGGCAUAAAAUCUCUUCAGAACAGAUACUGAAUCUUGGAACCAGUUCUUUCCCCAUCUUGGCUCCAAGCUCCGUAGUCUGCCACCUUCUUUGAUGUGGAGAGAAUGGACUAUCUGCAUCCUGAGAUUUCCAAGAAGGUAGCCACAGGACAGUCAAGGCCAGGGAAACAUGAACCUCACGCAAUUCUGGUUCCAAACUUUGGGAAACUGGCAUUGUUCAAGCUUGCAUUGGUGAGAUUCUCAGUGGGUUUAAAAAAAUUCCUCUAAAAAAUUAAACCUAAGCAUAUUGCCCUUUUUAAAUUCUCUCUAUACAAGGGCACUAUGUGGAUUUUAUAUAGAGAUUUAUUAGAAUGUGUAUAUUCAGCAUUGCAAUGAUGUAUAUGUAUACAUUAGUUUAUGUGCAUGUAUUAUAAUGAUUUGUUAAUUUAAUAAAAUUUUACGUAUACGUCUCA